CCACCACAGACAACACCGAGGAGCCGAACCACAGGCUCCACUGGCUGCCCAGGUUGGACAGGAGGGUGACCAUCUGUGAGAGGAGAGGUCAGAGAGACAGGAACCAGGAGGCCACGACUGGAAAGUCCAGGCAGAAGAGAACUGCGGAGCCAGCCCAGGGAAGGACAGAAGUGGAAAAGUCACCACAGACAGGAACAAGGUAGGGAUGGACGCUGAACUCUGGGGUGAGACAAUCCGCUGCCUUUGAGGGCCUCUGUGUCUCCAGUGCCCACUACCAUGUCCCCUCCCGUGAUGGCCCUCCGCCCACCCUGUGGGACAGCUGGGCCCAGGGGAGAGCCCUGGGAGGAGGAACUGCAGGGGGAACAGGCCAGCUGUGCCAGGGAAGAGCAUGAACUCCAGGAAUGCAAACCCUUGCAGCUUACAUAUUUUCUUUUUGUGAUUUUCUUUCUCUCUCAGCUUCCUGGCACACGACUUCCCUGCCAAACAACUCAACUGUAGUCAAAAGGAAAGAGAUUUGUCUAGUCCUAUACCAGGAUAAGGAGGAGAUUCCAAGUCUCUAAAGCUGCAAGAGAAGCAAGUUCAGGAAGACCCGCAAAGGGACCUGGCAACCCCUGAGCUGGAAUCUGGAGGCAGGAGGAAGACCUGGGACGGGAUUCCUCUCAUGCCUGGAACGGACUAUGUGGCACCUAUUGGGGAGAGACAGCAGGCAGGACCCCUCCCAGCAGCUCUAGGAGGUGAGCUCAAGGUAAGUACAGGUGAGUGGCUGAAGCAGAGGGCGCCAUGGAGCAAGCAGGGAGCU
rnacentral:lncRNA from 1 species